CAUGCAAAAAUUGCACAUGAAGCUACUUCCAAUGUGGACUUCCGAAAUCCUUAAGGCAGCCAGUCCCAGCAUCUGGACAAACUACACUUUCCCUCCCAAUUUUUACUCAAAGUAUUACUAUUACAACCCAAUAGCAGCAGUUAGGUAAAUACCCAAUGAUCCUGUGAAUUUUAAGUGAUAUUACAAUUGUACUGUAUCAAUGUAUGGUUGAGUCAGGCAUGGUGAAGCAUUAACAGAUGAACAAAGCAACACCAAUUCGAAUUAUCAAAUAGCACUACGAAGAAAACGCACUGUUCAUCCCCACUAAACUAAAUCCAGCACAGCCACAGGGUUUGAAGCUUCAUGAGCAGUCUGCAAACGCACCUGAUAUAUGACACCAUCAGGGAGUAGAUUCAUGAUAACUUCUCUGCAUACAAGCCAAAUGGUGGUAGAUAUUUAGGGGACGACAACACAAUAUGAAUUUUGAAAAUGGCACUUGUGGCUGAGAACGGGAGCUUACGACGAGGAGAGGGUGGUGGUGGUGAAAAGCACGGGGAGGCCUGGACGGAGGCGGACACAGUGGCGAACAACGGGAAGCGCGACCAUUCCCUCGCCAAGGGAUACGGCAUGAAACCACACGAGCGUGAUGAGCGGGACGAGGCAGAGGUAAUUGUCGAUCUCGCUCUGCGCCUUGCGGAACUGGUAGAUGAUGUUCCAGCCCAUGGCGAGGAGGUAGAGGUAGGAGUGGUCCUGGCAGGAGUUGACGAGCAGGUAGCCCCGGCGGAGCGCGUCCUCGAGCUGCUCCAGCGGCUCCGGCGUCUCUGGGUACUUCCUGAGCUCCGACACGCGGAGCUGCUCCAGCAGGCCGCCGAUGAGCUUGAGGUGCUGCGCGAAGCGGCGGCAGUUGCGCUUGUGCAGCCGCGCCGUGGACGCCGCCCUAACGAUGAGGGAGAUGAGCUUGACGGCGUCCAGCCCCGUGAGCUGCGCGAUGUUGGAGAGCUCUCCGAGGUUGUCCCACGACGCCAUUGCGACCUCGGCUCAGCUCCCGAGUCAAGCAAUCACCCGAUCUCUGUUUCCGUCCUCUGCUAACCGACGGAACGGACGGGAAGCCUUUGGGCCGGGCCGCGUGAAAGGCAUCCGAGAUCAGAGAGCCCUACCUACCACCGGCACCGGGCAUGGUGCUUCUCCCCCUCGGCCAUAGCCAUGCUUCGAGCUUCUGCUCGAACCUACGCCCUCAGCUCCAGAAUUCCCGGUGAACAGGGCGCGGCUGAGCAGAUCUGCGAGAGCGAGAAUAAAUCUGCAGAUGGCGGUGUGGGGGCGUGACAUGCGGGGGAGCAAGCGUGGAGCCGCGGUUGCGUUUUGACGCUGCGUGAGCGCGAAAUGCGGGCAGGCGGUUCGCGGAGCUAGAGGAGCGGCGGGCGAUUCGCGGUAGAUUGAGGAGCGGCUCCGCAGGCGGGUUCCGCGGUAGGGGAGGUGCGGGAUUUGUGGUGAUUGAGGUGUGGGUGGGAUUCGCCAUGGGGGAGGCGCGGGAUUCGCGGUGCUUGAAGCACGACAUCGUGGAGCUUGAGGAGCGGCGGGCGAUGGCCGGUUUCGCGAGGGUGUGCGGGUGAGCUGGUUUCGCGGCGGGGAGGCGAAGCCACGGGUGGGAUUCGCAUGCGGGGCGGGGGCAGUCUACACUGCCCCCUUAAUAGUUAGUACAACAUCGCAACACAACGGUCCGACAUAUAGCAAUAAAAGGCAACAGUCAAAGACAUUUUCUGAAAACAAUGUUGAUGCACUAAACACUUUUGAAAAAAAAGAAUGAAGGUAGUAAAUGAAAGGCAUAAACGUUGAGCAAUUAGAUCCUGAACAGAAAAGAAUAUCAGUAAUGACUGGCUUUUUUCAUGAGAAUGCUAGUCUUCACCUUUGAUUGGGGUGAAAUACUUAUUCUCCAUUGUCUCCUUGUCGUUGCACUCUAGCUUCUCCAAUUACCAGUCAUACGAUCUACAAAUCACCAAUCAAAUCCCAUUCUUACAAAUGCAAACCUUUCCUGAAGCACAAUGAAAUGCAAUUUUAAAUGCUAAUAGCACAAGGAAUCUUUCUAAAAUAAGAUAAGUUGCUCAUAUUAUAGGGUAAAUCUAUUGAAUGACUCCCCUCUGAAAAGCAAAAACCUGAUUUUUUUUCAUACAACAUGUGGUUUUUUAUGAAAUAUUUGUAGGUGUGGCAUCCCUGUGCAUUGCUACGGAGUAAACAUGUUAUAAUAAAAUAUAUUGAAACUCAAAAAUGCAAAUUGCCAUGAACACGACAACACAGUCAAUUUCAGGAACGAGCACAAAUCUUUAGGUGAGAAACAUCACAAAUAAGACAAAAGAAAGCAUGAAGCAUGUUUCUCGUCUCACUUUCAUUUAAAUUCAAUUCAGAUUUGAAGAUAGAAACUUGAACUCUACAAGAAGAAUGAGUGAAUGACCAGACACAAUCAUUUUUUAGGAGACAAAAACAGAAGCAAAAACAUAUUUAGAGAUCUCGAUAGUGCCAUAAUGGCAAGAUAUUGUGCAUGAACAGUCUCCAGAACACGAAUUUGUUGCUUUGAUUUCUCUAUCAAUAAUUUCCUUGCAACAUGAUGCAAAUCUCAAAGUUGGCCUACCAACCCGUUCCUGUACUACAAGCUACCAGCCUACUGCAUCAUUCAUCCGUACAGUAUUAUUUCAGGACCAGACCAUAUAUGAAAAACCAAAAAGACAUGCCAAAUUACAAGAAUUCAUGCUAACAAGAAAAGGAGCGAUCAGAAUCCACAAAAUCAUACCAUAGCAUUUGUAUUUAUUAUAUAGUGGUUUCCAAGCAACAAAUUGAAUUAUUGAAUGAACCCGUAAAAGAGAGUAAUUUUGCGCAAAUAAAAAUCCAUGGAUGCUGCUACAAAGGGGGAACAAAAAUCUCUACACAGUAACUCCAUCCUCAUUUGAUCUUGCUCUAUUUCAGUGCAUCUUGGGAACACAAUCAGCACCACAGAUGACUGAAUUAGUGAUAACCAGGGGGCAGACUGGAGCAUGGUGUACCGUGAGCUAAUAGGGAAGUUGUUGAUGGCACAAUGCUGGCAUGUUCAUGCUAGAAACAUGGUCUUCUUACAGUUUUUAACAUUAGCCAGAUAAGCUACUUACUAAAUAAUAGAAAAAUGGGAACAACCAAGAAUAGAGAUGAUGCUUUAAUUACCGAAAAAACAGAAUAAUGGGACAGUGCUCUUCCUUCAUAUCUUCACCAUAGGUUGAGUCCAAUUUAUUGUUUCCAUUUGUGGUGCUAGCCCAAACAGGAAAAACAUGGCAUUUGUGCUCUGUAAAAAAAAGUCAGGCUUAUUGUAUAACUUAGGACCAACUCCUGUAGUAGGCUUGUCAUCCUCUGGUUACUGAAAAAUAAACCGUAACAUCAGAGUGAGAAUCUGCAAGGAAUUUUAAUGAAUUAACAAGCUACUCGAUCGAUAACUCAGCAUUAAUGGUGGCAGAUACUCAUUUGCUCCACUGUACUGUACCACUGGAUGAAGAUGAGCUACUUCCUAAUCUGCUUGAGCUGCUAGCCGGGGAAUCCCUCUCAAUCUCCACUGACUGGUAAUUCACAGAUUCUUUUGCAACUACACAAUAGACUACAACAUGUUCAAGGAGCAAAGGUGUCACCAUGAAUAUACAUAUUAUCAUCAUGUGAUAUAUAUAUAUAUCAGUUAAGUUGUAGGCUUGUAACCAGAUCUUCAAUAUCCACAACGAUGUAUAGUUUAGGAUUAAAACAAUAACACAUGACAAAGGAGUUUAGGCUCUUGGUUGAUAAUCAAGAUUGAUGUUGAGUUGUUCUCCUUUCAGUCUGGUUUGUCUAUUGCCAUAGUGAUCUCGCAAAUCAAAUUGCGAAGAAUCCCGUGCUCGGUUACUUAUUUGCUCCUGUUAUUUUCUCUAUUCAUAAGAUGGACUCUGGCGCUUUGGCAAGUUGUCGAGUUCCACCAACGUGCAGGGAUCACUACAAUGUCAGGGAGCACUUGACUACUUAUUGUGGAAAUUACAGAAGCACAUGCGCUGCAGAACCAUUCCAUCGACACUGACACUGUGACACCCGCUGACUGCCAAUCCAAUUUGAUGUCACUUGCAGGCUUGCAGCGCACUGCGUACCAUGAUAAGAAGCCAGUUUCGACGGUCGGUUAUAUCUAGCUGACUGCCAAUCUAGUUUCGACGGUCAUGUUAUAAAACUCAAGCAGCACUACAUAAAAAUAUAUCAAGCAAUUAUAGAAUAGUUGAUGCUCCCUCCUAUCUGCAGAUUCUGAAUAGCUGAUAGGCUAAAGCUAAUGCUCCCUCCCGUCUGCUGAUAUCUACAAACAAAUAUCAGGCACAAUUAAGGUAAACAUACAGUUAUAACCGAAUAUGUGAAAUGAUAGAUACUAAUCAAAAUUUGAAAGAACGGUUCAACUUAUAAGAACUUUUUUGGUCAUAAACAAACAAUGUAAAUGUAAAUAAAAACAUUUUAAAAUAUCGCACAACUUAUAGAGGGCAUUUUAAGCAUUUGAAUUAACAAUAAUUCAAUAACCAACAAAAUUUUGAAUUUGUUUUGUCGGAAACCCUCCUUAAACAAGAGAGCACCCUCCAAAAAUUAGCAUAAUAUUCUUUAGUAUCUUAGAAAUCCAAUUUCGAUCCUAAUUCAAUUCGAUCCUUAAAUUUUAUAGUGUAAAAUCUAGAAUCCAUUACCACCCCUACUUGCAACUCUUGAUACUGUCCUAGCACCAGUAGCACCUCACUGAGUAAUAGACUAAUAGGCUAAUAGCUGCAAAGUACAUAAACCAAUCCACUCACCUGUACUAUCAACAUGUUCACCACUCGCCAUGCAAGCUUUAUUUUUCUUGUACACCUGAACACCACUCCCCGAUGGAUUUGGAAGGAUGGGAGGAUGGAGUGCGUAGAAGUUCCCAAUAGCAGCUGCUGCCGUUCUGAAGCACUCUUUCUCAUCAUCCCAGGUAACCUAUUUUAAGAUUGAAAUUACUAAAAGAAUCAGGGUUGCCAGAACGAGGACUGCAUCAUCCAAAAAAAUGCCACGAGGGAGGCUUAUCAGGGCUCAAACAAAGAAACAAGUUAAAUAAUAACUUAUGUUCAGAUACUUAUAUAGGAAAAGCUAAUUAAAUUUCAUUAGCUGAAACAGUUAUGCAAUGAAUCACUUGCCAUCUCGAUAGUGAGUGUAUAGUCUAGCACUCUAGUUCCACGAUCCAAUUUUAAAGUAGCACACAUAAUGAACUUGACUUAAUAAGAGAAAACCUACAUCAUUCCCCAUAGUCAAAACAAAAUUUGGGAGACGGUCCAUAUCAGGGGUGUACUGAUCAAGUACAACUGGAAGCCUGGUCAAGUUCCCAUCGUGAUCAACGUGAAUAGAGAAGUACUCAUUAAUCAUCUCAGCGUUUUCUUUCAGUAUUUUCGAGUUUGCCUGCAAAAUAUAGGUUAUGUUCGUUUAAAGAGCUAUGUAACAAGAAGUUUUGGCAGACUCAAACUGAAAUAAACAAACAUAAUAACAUAUAAAUAUAUACAUCACCUUAGGCACCUAUCACAUUAAUCAUGAUUUUGGGCAAUUCCAAAAAUAACUUACCUCUGCAAUCUCCAGUUUCUCCUCGUCAUUUUCAUCACCGAUUGAUUCAUAAUCUUUUAGUGCCAUCAGCAGCAGCUUCUGAAGAGGAGCUGGUUCACUAAGCUGGAUCGCAUUGAAGUUUCCAAAACGGCACAGAGCUUGCUGGUACAUGAGUUCUUUACUGCACCAUGAAUUCAAUAAUUAACAUACCACAUGAAAUUAAAUACUAAAAUGUCCCUGGAAAUAAAUAGUAUCAAUGCAAUAUGUCGAAGUGGCUGCAGUAGUUGCAAGCUUGCAGCAGGACAUUGUAUGCAGGUGGCAGCAGUGUGAUGAUCUGGCAUGGCACUAUGAAGCCCAUGGAGUCAGUCACUUCAUCUCCAGCUUAGACCAAAUUAACAACACCAUCGAGCAAUUUGCAUUCCAGCCAAGCACAAUUUUAUUAGUCACCCACACAAAUCCUGGACAGGGAACUGAAUCGAAAGGAAUUCGAGUUGUAGAGGAAACCACUCGCUGCUACUGCUAGAAAACAAGCAUGAUCAUGAAAAGUGAUAUGGACAAUUUCCAAAAUUAUGAGAAAGCCACUUACCCCUUUUGCUGCUGCAGACAUGAUGAGGUUUGGCCAGAGUUCACUUUUCAGAAGAAGUACCAAACUUGGCUUCCAGUAUCCAAAAAAACUAUCUAUUGCAGUAGGACAGUCAAGAGGAGCAAACUACACGCAUAAAAAAUGAGGUUGGAACUUUGGAAGGGAGAAAUAAACACGGCAUGCAAAAAUUGCACAUGAAGCUACUUCCAAUGUGGACUUCCGAAAUCCUUAAGGCAGCCAGUCCCAGCAUCUGGACAAACUACACUUUCCCUCCCAAUUUUUACUCAAAGUAUUACUAUUACAACCCAAUAGCAGCAGUUAGGUAAAUACCCAAUGAUCCUGUGAAUUUUAAGUGAUAUUACAAUUGUACUGUAUCAAUGUAUGGUUGAGUCAGGCAUGGUGAAGCAUUAACAGAUGAACAAAGCAACACCAAUUCGAAUUAUCAAAUAGCACUACGAAGAAAACGCACUGUUCAUCCCCACUAAACUAAAUCCAGCACAGCCACAGGGUUUGAAGCUUCAUGAGCAGUCUGCAAACGCA
rnacentral:lncRNA from 1 species